rnacentral:rRNA from 1 species
UUUAUUGGAGAGUUUGAUCCUGGCUCAGGAUGAACGCUGGCGGCGUGCCUAAUACAUGCAAGUCGAGCGAAUGGAUUAAGAGCUUGCUCUUAUGAAGUUAGCGGCG